UGAUGCUGGCUUGUAACAGAGCAUUGUGCUCAGCCCCGCUCCAAUCCAUUCAACCCCUGUGCACUAUUCGGAGUGUUGCAAGCUGAGACAAUGUGGGGAGUGGUCCCGGUUGUAUUUCUAAUGCGACUUGGGCUUACUUUCAAACGGUCAAGGCUUGUCCUCCGGUUUAUAUUACAAACACUUUUAUUGUCUUGUCGAAUGUAUUAGCCUCUCGUUAGGCGAAACUUAAAUACAACUUUCAACAACGGAUCUCUUGGCUCUCGCAUCGAUGAAGAACGCAGCGAAAUGCGAUAAGUAAUGUGAAUUGCAGAAUUCAGUGAAUCAUCGAAUCUUUGAACGCACCUUGCGCUCCUUGGCUAUUCCGAGGAGCAUGCCUGUUUGAGUGUCAUGUUAAUAUCAACUCUGAUGGUUUUUGUUAACCAUUGGAUGUUGGACUUGGAGGUUCGUGCUGGCUGCAAAGUCGGCUCCUCUUGAAUGCAUUAGCUUGGACCUGUGCGCGUUUGCUAGCGGUGUAAUACAUUUUAUUCACCACGGGCCGUGUCACUAUUAGGGUCUGCUUCUAAUCGUCCUUACCGGACAAUAUAAACUUUAUGACUCUGACCUCAAAUCAGGUAGGACUACCCGCUGAACUUAAGCAUAUCAAUAAGCGGAGGAAAAGAAACUAACAAGGAUUCCCCUAGUAACUGCGAGUGAAGCGGGAAAAGCUCAAAUUUAAAAUCUGGCGGCUUUGUCGUCCGAGUUGUAAUCUGGAGAAGCGUUUUCCGUGUCGGACCGUGCACAAGUCUCUUGGAACAGAGCGUCAUAGAGGGUGAGAAUCCCGUCUUUGGCACGGACAGCCGAUACUUUGUGAUACGUUUUCAAAGAGUCGAGUUGUUUGGGAAUGCAGCUCAAAAUGGGUGGUAAAUUCCAUCUAAAGCUAAAUAUAGGCGAGAGACCGAUAGCGAACAAGUACCGUGAGGGAAAGAUGAAAAGCACUUUGGAAAGAGAGUUAAAUAGUACGUGAAAUUGUUGAAAGGGAAACGCUUGAAGUCAGUCGCGUCUGCCGGGACUCAGCCUUACUUUUGUAUGGUGUAUUUCCUGGUUUGACGGGUCAACAUCGAUUUUGACCGAUGGAUAAAGGAGAAGGGAAUGUGGCACCUUCGGGUGUGUUAUAGCCCUCUUUGUAUACAUCGGUUGGGAUCGAGGACUGCAGCACGCCCUUGUGGCCGGGGGUUCGCCCUACGUAUCGUGCUUAGGAUGUUGACAUAAUGGCUUUAAGCGACCCGUCUUGAAACACGGACCAAGGAGUCUAACAUGCUCGCGAGUGUUAGGGUGGAAAACCCUUGCGCGUAAUGAAAGUGAAGGUUGGGACCUCUGCGAGGAGGGCACCGACGCCCGGCCCUGAAGUUCUCUGACGGUGCUGCGGUAGAGCGCGUAUGUUGGGACCCGAAAGAUGGUGAACUAUGCCUGAAUAGGGCGAAGCCAGAGGAAACUCUGGUGGAGGCUCGUAGCGAUUCUGACGUGCAAAUCGAUCGUCAAAUUUGGGUAUAGGGGCGAAAGAC
rnacentral:rRNA from 1 species